rnacentral:lncRNA from 1 species
UUGGAGCAGCAGCCGCACAGCCCCAGUCAGAGGUCCCCGACUUCCAACACAUCCCGAACAUUCCCAUGUGCGAUCAUGGUGACUUCAGCACGUUGUUUUGGAUGCUCUUCACGCCAUCUGGGCGAGAGUGUCACAGUGCCGCUGCGUUACAAGAGGGAGUGUGCAUGCACGAUCUCCAUCAGCUGCAGUACCGUCACUCCAGCCAGAGGAUGACACCGAGGACGACAUAUAUGAGGACUAGUCUUCGUCUUCCUAUCCC